CCUUGUUCAGGGGCAGAACGACAGAUUUUUACCUUGUCAUCUUGGGGAUUCAAUCUUGCAGCUUUACGGUUAAUUAGUCCAACACUCUAACCACCUGCUUUACAUUGCACUCCACGAGGAGCCUGCCUGUUACGCGAAUGCAGUAAGAAGCCAAGGUAUCCUACUGGUUGGAGCGUUGGGCAAGUAACCGAAAGGUUCCUGGAUCAAAUCUCUGAGCUGACAAGGGGACCCUCACUUUCCUGGGAGGAUAACUGUGCCUGUGUACACAGUCAGACUCAAGUAGAGUGUUAUGCCCAGCACUGGCAGUAGCUGCUGGCAUCCAUGCUUUCUAAUGAAGACAUGCCUGACUGAAAAAAAGAAGGCAUGAUACAACAUGAUGCAAUGCAUUCAGUUGAGCAUGAAAAGAUGAACCAUCAAAUUAUUUACUGUAUUUUUAGAAUGGACAAUAAUUAAGUUAUGGAUAAAGCAUUCUUGUUAAAAAGUAAAUAAACAAGUGUCGAAGUUUCAUGUGUCUGUUGGUUUUCUUGUUACCCGUCUGCUACAAGCCAUCCCUGACUGUGGCCCAAUACUGUACACAACACAGAGUGUGUUCAGAGUUCAGGUUUCCAUAAUCAACUUUUUGCCCAA
rnacentral:lncRNA from 1 species